AGAGUUUGAUCAUGGCUCAGAUUGAACGCUGGCGGCAGGCCUAACACAUGCAAGUCGAGCGGAUGAGGGGUGCUUGCACCCCGAUUCAGCGGCGGUCGGGUGAGUAAUGCCUAGGAAUCUGCCCGAUAGUGGGGGACAACGUUUCGAAAGGAACGCUAAUACCGCAUACGUCCUACGGGAGAAAGUGGGGGCUCUUCGGACCUCACGCUAUCGGAUGAGCCUAGGUCGGAUUAGCUAGUUGGUGGGGUAAAGGCCCACCAAGGCGACGAUCCGUAACUGGUCUGAGAGGAUGAUCAGUCACACUGGAACUGAGACACGGUCCAGACUCCUACGGGAGGCAGCAGUGGGGAAUAUUGGACAAUGGGCGAAAGCCUGAUCCAGCCAUGCCGCGUGUGUGAAGAAGGUCUUCGGAUUGUAAAGCACUUUAAGUCGGGAGGAAGGGCUGUAGGUUAAUACCCUGCGGUUUUGACGUUACCGACAGAAUAAGCACCGGCUAACUUCGUGCCAGCAGCCGCGGUAAUACGAAGGGUGCAAGCGUUAAUCGGAAUUACUGGGCGUAAAGCGCGCGUAGGUGGUUUGGUAAGUUGGAUGUGAAAGCCCCGGGCUCAACCUGGGAACUGCAUCCAAAACUGCCUGACUAGAGUACGGUAGAGGGUGGUGGAAUUUCCUGUGUAGCGGUGAAAUGCGUAGAUAUAGGAAGGAACACCAGUGGCGAAGGCGACCACCUGGACUGAUACUGACACUGAGGUGCGAAAGUGUGGGGAGCAAACAGGAUUAGAUACCCUGGUAGUCCACGCCGUAAACGAUGUCGACUAGCCGUUGGGCUCCUUGAGAGCUUAGUGGCGCAGCUAACGCAUUAAGUCGACCGCCUGGGGAGUACGGCCGCAAGGUUAAAACUCAAAUGAAUUGACGG
rnacentral:rRNA from 1 species